rnacentral:rRNA from 1 species
UACGGAGGGGGCUAGCGUUGUUCGGAAUUACUGGGCGUAAAGCGCGCGUAGGCGGCUUGGCAAGUUAGAGGUGAAAGCCCGGGGCUCAACUCCGGAAUUGCCUUUAAAACUGCAUCGCUAGAAUUGUGGAGAGGUAAGUGGAAUUCCGAGUGUAGAGGUGAAAUUCGUAGAUAUUCGGAAGAACACCAGUGGCGAAGGCGACUUACUGGACACAUAUUGACGCUGAGGUGCGAAAGCGUGGGGAGCAAACAGG